ensembl:lncRNA
UUAUUCUUAUUCUUAAUUCUUAUACUUUAUUCUUAUUCUUAAUUCUUAUACUUUAUUCUUAUUCUUAAUUCUUAUACUUUAUUCUUAUUCUUAAUUCUUAUUCUUAUUCAGAAAUCAAAAGUCCGUUUCAUCACUGAUGUUUUCACUGUCAGCUCCAAGGCAUACUUAGAUAAAAAUCCACAUCUGGAACCUGUUGAAACAGAAAUCCCAAAUCUGCAGGACAUUCUGAAUAGAACUAACAGGAGAAUUAACCGAGAACUGAACAGAGAUCAUAUCAAUGAAGCAAAAGGAGUUUUGUCCUUCAUCCAAAGUAUCCAACUACAUUCAGAUGAAAAAAUGGUGGAGAUAAAAGCUGUAGUCACAGCUUUGCAGAAUAACCUAGCAAAAGCACUGAAAGUGUUGGAUCAUCAGAUUAACUCACUUCAUAAGAUUUUGGAUCAAAGUCUCUCAAAAGGAGUGGAGAAAUCAGUGGAACUGUGUGUUGGCACCAAAAACACCAUGAUGGCAUCUGUAAGUAUAAUUCUGUUGAAUGUUAAAGAAAAGCCAUUUUCUGGGCUUUCUAACCGCAGUGAUAUUUUGGCUUUCUGAAACAGGUUUCACCUAUAGCUAAAAGAGGAUUCCAUAAAACCCUUAAAGCAUUGUACAAGAACAAAGGAUAUGUUUGGCCAAAGAACUGGGAGGCACCCCUAGAUCUAAACAUGUUCUUGGCAAAACACAUGCACGACAACAUCAAUGAGGAGUUUAAUUUAAUUUUUCCUGUUGAUGCUAAUAACAAAACAGGAAUGUCAGUGCAGGAACAGAUCGAUAAGUUCAGUAUCUUCCAAAGGUGCACUGCUUACCCACAGUCUUCUAUUCUAUACCACAUGGAAAACUUCAUCAGAACAGAGGAAACCAAAGUGAAGGCAUUGCUCAAAAGAGAAGUUGUUCAGAGAAAGAAGGAAAUCUACUCCUCAAUCCAAACAUCAAUUCAGAAUCAAAUGACUGCUGGCUAUAAACGUGAGGAAGCAUUCAAAACAACACACACAACACUAAUAUCAGAUUAUUUAACUGUUGCCCACAUGAGCUUCUACAAACCCCAUCACACAUCUGUUAGUUUUAAGACCUCAGAUGAGACCAGUUAUCACAUUUUCUUCCUUACACAUUUUUUUUUCUCUCAGAGACGUUCUAUGUUUGUACUGCCUAUGUUAAAGAGUAUAAAUGAAUAUUAAAUGUUAUAUAUUACAGUAGCUGCAAAUGAGAAAGGACAAGGAGCCAUGAUGAAAAUGGAGAACAGAAUAACAGAAACAAUUGAACGGUUAAAAUACAACAUGUUCAAAGAUGCAAAAAUGGAAGUUCUGAAUAAGUUCAUGGACUUAAAGGUAUUUGCAUUUCACAGAUUCUCAAUAUUGUUUAACAUAUUGGCUGCCUCUUUCUGAAAAUACUUACAAACAUCACAAAACAGUCUUUUUUUCUAUAUAUCUUGACUAUGUAUUUUCUGUUAUUUCUUUCUAAAGGAUCUUAUUUGCAAGACCCUUGAAUCUGAGCUAAAGAGAUCACUAGAACGCACACAAAGCAGAAUAACCACCCUGAUGCUGAUGGGUAAGAGAGAAUUAAACAAGAACAGUACUUUAAAAUCAGGCAGAACACCCAGUAAUAUGUCUUUUUCUCUAGAUGUCUCUGAAGAGAUUGAAAUCCUGGAGAGUCUGUCAAGGCAGGUAUUUAACUGAGGACAUCAUUUAAAAGCAAGGACAAGAGAAACAGCAUCUCAGCAUUUUUCAGUAAAAGUUAUUUUUAGGAUAAAGUUAUUUUGUAUUAUAAAGCAUGCUUAAAGCUCUAUCAUUAUGAUUUUUUUUUUCUUCCAAUGGUUUAAGUUGUUGGACCAAACUUUUGACUCUGUAACUAAACGCAUAAGAAAAAUUAUUUUGAGAAGUACACUACUGCUGUUAUUGAAGAAUACAACUAAACAUGGUCUACAGUAAAAUAUUAAAAUGAAUACUAUGUUACUUCAUAUGGAUUGUAACUAGUUGUAGUUCAUUGAUGAUGAUUAAGUUUGAAUUGUAAAUCCAGUUAAAACACACUGAGAAGCAGUAAGGUGUGCAGAUCAUUUGUUUUGUGUAUACACCAUACAGGGCCGGCCCAAGCCUUUGUGGGGCCUUUAUUAUUGUCAUUGUUUGAUUAUCUGCACACCAGAACAAAUACUGCAUAAAGCAAAAUGGUAUAUCAAAUCAUUCUGUUGUAUAUUUUAUGACAUAGUUGAGAACCAUCUUUAAAGUUUGGUAUAAAAAAAAUCCUGAAACCUAAAAAUUGAUUUUGUAUUGAAGCUGUUUUUGCCUUUACAUGUCUAUUCUUGUCAUUUUAUUUUUUAGAAAAACUGAGUUCUGGUGUUCUCUACAGAGGACAUAGCAUAACAUAUGAAUAAAAUAUAAUUUUUCAAAAAUGUUAUUUUACCU